rnacentral:rRNA from 1 species
UACGGAGGAUCCGAGCGUUAUCCGGAUUUAUUGGGUUUAAAGGGUGCGCAGGCGUGAGAUUAAGUCGGCGGUGAAAUUUUGCAGCUCAACUGUAAAAGUGCCUUCGAAACUGGCUUCCUUGAGUGUAGAUGAAGUAGGCGGAAUUUGUGGUGUAGCGGUGAAAUGCAUAGAUAUCACGAGGAACUCCGAUUGCGCAGGCAGCUUACUAAACCAUAACUGACGCUCAGGCACGAAGGCGUGGGGAUCAAACAGGAUUAGAUACCCGU